AUGGCUGCAAGCUUUACCCAGAGACACAGCAAGCUGGACUCUGCCAGGAGGCCUUUGGGUACAGCCAGCAGGAAAGAUGAACCCGGGCUCCUGGCAUCCUGGACCCUUCCUGACACGGCACAGCCAUCCAGGAAAGUGAUUUGCUUAAGGAUAGUUGAGUCCCCUGACCUACCUUAUAUGAAGAACACGUGUGAAGGCAACUGUUCUAGACUACGGGUGGGAGCAUCAGUGCUUUGACGAUACCCAGAUGGCACAGCGGCUGCUACAAUUCAGGUAUGUGAACUUUCUACGCAGGUGACUGACAAAAGUAGAUUCUGAGAAGCAAACGGGGUGAAAAGUUCUGAAUAGCUUCCAUUUGCCCCAGUGGACCCACUUUCUCUACCUUUGAGUCUAGUAACAUUAAUCAAUAUGAACUACAUCAGUGGGAUUCCUUGCCUUGUGGCCUUUGGUUGGGUUUGGUCAAUGGGGACCCUAGGCAUGAAAUCAGAAGGAUGAAAGAAGGGGACGUCUAGCUCUGGCUAUUUCUUGCAGAACGUGGAGCUGGAUGCUACCCCCGACCCCCUCCCCCCAGCUCCUGGAAUGCAGUUCUUUCCUCUCUUGUCUGUGGAUUUCAGUAAUUGUUCCCUUCUCUUAUCCUUUCAGGGGUAGGGAUGUUAAUAGAGCCCUGGCCUUACCCGCUACUGGGUACCAACGACUUCUUGUGGUUUUCCUCCAUCCUGUCCACAACUCUGUGAGUAGCCUCUUUAUGAAAACUCUACUUGAAGUGUCCUAGUCUGUGUCAGUUGCUUCCUGCUGGGACUCUGACUGGCAUGCCAGCUCAUUCAAAGUAUAAGAAAAAGUCCUAAUGGGACAAUAAAAUCCAACAAGAUCAAGAUCCA
rnacentral:lncRNA from 1 species